AAUUAUUUACAUUUAUAAUAUACAUGAUAUGCACACUGUAUCAUAACUCAUUAACACAGUACUGUGUUUACUCAAAUAAACAAUCUGAAUACUUUUUAAAUGAAUAUUUUUUGAUGAAGGCACCCAUGUUUUUGCAAUGACACCACACAGCGGGCGACACCCAGACACCUCCUUCUUCCUGUGCUGAUGGCUGAGCGCGGCUUACGACGAACUGACAACAACCUGAGCGGAUACCUGGCGCUGAUCUCGGCUCUUUACGAGGCUGCUUCAGAAAGACGUCUGCAGGACGAGAUGUAAAGGGAGGUGAACUGGAGGGAAAUGGAAGCACGUGGAGUUUGUUGUGAGUUAUGAGGAAAGACACAAGGUGUUGGUGGAGGAGCAGCAGACUGGAAAGAGAAGAGGACUUCAAGAAAAUACUUAAGUAGCAGGUGGAGAACCACAGGGACACAGGCAGAAGCAGCUCAGUCGCCUCUGGGACAAAGUAGAAGACAAGCAGAGGAUGUCGGACGAACUCAGAACUGCUCGAUGAACAAAGGGACUAAAAGGGCCUGAGAGUGACGAGUUGGAGCACAUGGAGCAAACAUUUGACCAAAGCUCAAGAAGACCCAGCAUCAGAAGUCCACGUCUUCUUCCACUGUUCUGUGUGUCUCCUGUACUCAUGUUUGAAACGCUUUUUCAUUAAUUAAAAAAAACAUUUACUGUUCCAUAAUCCCUUGUUUUUAUCUUGCCGAAACACCGGGAGGAGACUCAUGUCUCAACUCCCUUUUCCACCUCCACAGUGGCGCUCUGGACACAGUGCCCUCACAACGGUGAGAACCAAACCCGGCUCUGGCGCCUUCCAAACCGGGAACUGACAGACCACGCCACCAUGCC